UAUGUACAGGAAUUGAAGAGUUCCUUUGCCUCCUUUGAAGUGGUGCAUGUGCCCAGAUAGCAGAAUGCCCGAACUGACUUGCUAGCUAAGCUCGCCAGUUCAGGAAAGGGGGGUAGGCAGAGGACGGUGAUUCAAGAAACUCUGAAGACGCCGAGAGCAUUUGUGGCAGAUCACCUGGUUCUUCAGAUAAGCAAGUCGACGGA
rnacentral:lncRNA from 1 species